UAGUGGCGAACGGGUGAGUAACACGUGGGCAAUCUGCCCUGCACUCUGGGACAAGCCCUGGAAACGGGGUCUAAUACCGGAUAUGACCAUCUUGGGCAUCCUUGAUGGUGUAAAGCUCCGGCGGUGCAGGAUGAGCCCGCGGCCUAUCAGCUUGUUGGUGAGGUAACGGCUCACCAAGGCGACGACGGGUAGCCGGCCUGAGAGGGCGACCGGCCACACUGGGACUGAGACACGGCCCAGACUCCUACGGGAGGCAGCAGUGGGGAAUAUUGCACAAUGGGCGAAAGCCUGAUGCAGCGACGCCGCGUGAGGGAUGACGGCCUUCGGGUUGUAAACCUCUUUCAGCAGGGAAGAAGCGAAAGUGACGGUACCUGCAGAAGAAGCGCCGGCUAACUACGUGCCAGCAGCCGCGGUAAUACGUAGGGCGCGAGCGUUGUCCGGAAUUAUUGGGCGUAAAGAGCUCGUAGGCGGCUUGUCACGUCGGUUGUGAAAGCCCGGGGCUUAACCCCGGGUCUGCAGUCGAUACGGGCAGGCUAGAGUUCGGUAGGGGAGA
rnacentral:rRNA from 1 species